rnacentral:rRNA from 1 species
GACGAACGCUGGCGGCGUGCCUAAUACAUGCAAGUCGAACGAACUCUGGUAUUGAUUGGUGCUUGCAUCAUGAUUUACAUUUGAGUGAGUGGCGAACUGGUGAGUAACACGUGGGAAACCUGCCCAGAAGCGGGGGAUAACACCUGGAAACAGAUGCUAAUACCGCAUAACAACUUGGACCGCAUGGUCCGAGCUUGAAAGAUGGCUUCGGCUAUCACUUUUGGAUGGUCCCGCGGCGUAUUAGCUAGAUGGUGGGGUAACGGCUCACCAUGGCAAUGAUACGUAGCCGACCUGAGAGGGUAAUCGGCCACAUUGGGACUGAGACACGGCCCAAACUCCUACGGGAGGCAGCAGUAGGGAAUCUUCCACAAUGGACGAAAGUCUGAUGGAGCAACGCCGCGUGAGUGAAGAAGGGUUUCGGCUCGUAAAACUCUGUUGUUAAAGAAGAACAUAUCUGAGAGUAACUGUUCAGGUAUUGACGGUAUUUAACCAGAAAGCCACGGCUAACUACGUGCCAGCAGCCGCGGUAAUACGUAGGUGGCAAGCGUUGUCCGGAUUUAUUGGGCGUAAAGCGAGCGCAGGCGGUUUUUUAAGUCUGAUGUGAAAGCCUUCGGCUCAACCGAAGAAGUGCAUCGGAAACUGGGAAACUUGAGUGCAGAAGAGGACAGUGGAACUCCAUGUGUAGCGGUGAAAUGCGUAGAUAUAUGGAAGAACACCAGUGGCGAAGGCGGCUGUCUGGUCUGUAACUGACGCUGAGGCUCGAAAGUAUGGGUAGCAAACAGGAUUAGAUACCCUGGUAGUCCAUACCGUAAACGAUGAAUGCUAAGUGUUGGAGGGUUUCCGCCCUUCAGUGCUGCAGCUAACGCAUUAAGCAUUCCGCCUGGGGAGUACGGCCGCAAGGCUGAAACUCAAAGGAAUUGACGGGGGCCCGCACAAGCGGUGGAGCAUGUGGUUUAAUUCGAAGCUACGCGAAGAACCUUACCAGGUCUUGACAUACUAUGCAAAUCUAAGAGAUUAGACGUUCCCUUCGGGGACAUGGAUACAGGUGGUGCAUGGUUGUCGUCAGCUCGUGUCGUGAGAUGUUGGGUUAAGUCCCGCAACGAGCGCAACCCUUAUUAUCAGUUGCCAGCAUUAAGUUGGGCACUCUGGUGAGACUGCCGGUGACAAACCGGAGGAAGGUGGGGAUGACGUCAAAUCAUCAUGCCCCUUAUGACCUGGGCUACACACGUGCUACAAUGGAUGGUACAACGAGUUGCGAACUCGCGAGAGUAAGCUAAUCUCUUAAAGCCAUUCUCAGUUCGGAUUGUAGGCUGCAACUCGCCUACAUGAAGUCGGAAUCGCUAGUAAUCGCGGAUCAGCAUGCCGCGGUGAAUACGUUCCCGGGCCUUGUACACACCGCCCGUCACACCAUGAGAGUUUGUAACACCCAAAGUCGGUGGGGUAACCUUUUAGGAACCAGCCGCCUAAGGUGUGACAGAUGAUUAGGGUGAAGUCGUAACAAGGUAGCCGUAG